UACGUAGGGUGCAAGCGUUGUCCGGAAUUAUUGGGCGUAAAGAGCUCGUAGGUGGCGGGUCACGUCGGGUGUGAAAGCCCGGGGCUUAACCCCGGGUCUGCAUUCGAUACGGGUCUGCUGGGGUCCGGCAGGGGAGACUGGAAUUCCUGGUGUAGCGGUGAAAUGCGCAGAUAUCAGGAGGAACACCGAUGGCGAAGGCAGAUCUCUGGGCCGUAACUGACGCUGAGGAGCGAAAGCAUGGGGAGCGAACAGG
rnacentral:rRNA from 1 species